GCCAGUGCGUAGCGACGAUUCUGGGAGAGGAGGUGCUCGGAGGAAAGGGCGGGGGUUGCUGAUGUAAUGGGGAGAAGUGAUUAAUCCUUCGGUUCGCCGUUUCAGCUUCCCCCCUACCCCAACCUUCACCCGAUUUUUUUGAGCUGAAAAAAAAGUGGAACGAGGGAGCCAAUCUUUGGUAACUCGGGUUUUCUGUGGUAGGUGGGUUCAAAAUCUGAGCUGUAGGGAGCGCUAGAGAUUUCGUGCCCUUUAGCCAAGCUGAGGGUAUUUGCAAACCCUGAAGAUUUCCGUCUCCGAGCUUUGGGCUUGGUCCCACAAACUGCAAGGAAAAGAAAAACCCUCAACAGGAAUUACCUUUAUACCUGAUGCCCCCAACAUAAUCUCUCUCCAAGGGAAACGUGUUUUUAUUGCCUUGCGGCUGAAAAUGUAUUCUCGAUUCUCCCCCUUCUCUCUUUUGUUGUGCAUUUUUUGGAUGUGGUAAAACUGGCAGUUUAUCUGAUUAUCUGGUUUUCAGAACUUUGGGCGAUGUCUCUGAGUGUCAUCAGUUGCUCUCUAGGUUUGACAUAGAUAAUUAAGCAACUACAAAGCGUGAUAAAGCUUUUGAGAGGGAGGAAAAUGUAUUUUGGAAGGAGGGAGAGACGCAAAGAGGCGAGCCUGUGUGUUGAGUCCCAGACUUGGUGUGUGACUACAGGCAAAGUACUUCACCUUUCUAGAUGUCAGCCCCGCCCCCCUCACCUCCCAAGUUUAAAUAAGAACUUAUUUUAGACUACAUGAUCCUGUUUUCAAUUUUUAAGAGUUCUGUGAUUUUGAGAUGAUCUCUCUUUAGUCCAGAAAAAUAGAGAAACGUAGGUCUAUGUUUGUUUCUCAAAAAAAUAUUUGAGGAGGACAGCUGUUACAAAACAGCUGGAGAACUCCAAAUUUUUAUGGUGGUUAGCUAGGUGCAAAUGGGUACAAUUUUAGGUUUGUUCAAAUAAACAUAGGGGAAAAGUAAAAGUACAGGAAAAUUACGUUAUACAUAUAAGUGUGUCCAUCAUUUCUGAUUUUUCUAAAAAUUUACUUUUUUAUUUGACAAGUACUUUUUGGCUCCUUCCGUGUAUGCAUUAAUAUGUAUAUAAGGUGUUAUGGGAAAUACUAAUAAAAGGAAAAUAUUGGGCAUAAAGAGUUUGUAUUUUGGUGUGGCAGAGUGGAAGUUUUACUUACAUUAAUUCAGAUGUAAAGAAAAUGUAGCUUGUUUAUUUUCUGUAAUUUUAACUUCAAGUCCCCACAUCAUCUCAAUUUUUUAAAAAACAUAACUGCUUUCACCUUUUAUUUCCCCAACUCUCCUUCUAAUAUAUUAAUGGGAGGGGCGGGGUUUAGGGUUGUUAUAUGUGGUAUAAGGGGUAUCUUUUACAUACCCUAGAUUUCUAAGUUUAUUGCAACAAUUCUCUGACAUAUGGCAGUAAAAUGCCUUGUUUUAGCAAAAUUAGUAUAUUAUGACAAUUUCCUGAUAGAUGGUAGUAAAGUGUCUUGAGAAAGGAAGCACCUUUUUCAAAUUCACAGAGUAACUGGUAGGGUGGUAGCAUCCCUGAGGAAUAGGGAGGUUUACAAGGGCAUCUAAGCCACUAAUGCCAGUCCUUAUGUUGUCUUCUGGCGUGGAGUGGCUAGUAUUGUCUGAUGGCAGCCACUGUCGUUUAUCAUUUAUUACUCAUAAAACUGGUCAUUUCUGUACUUUUGAGGCUGAUUUCUUUUGCUGAAAUCCAUACAUGAGCCAUUUGCCCCAUACACUAUAACCUCUUUGUACUGACCCCGAGUCUCCACAGGUCCCUUGAUCCUCAUGGUUCUCACUGAGACACAUGGGUACUUCUGGAUUCCCCGAAUACCACGUGUAGGCCUUGAUGAGCCAGGAGCCUUGCUUUGGGCUUACUAGUUGUUGAGCCACUAUCCAACAAUGUUGCAUUUUUCUCCUUAUGUCAUAUUGAACAUGCUGGCAGGCUGAAAGUAGAACUCCUAGACGUCUUAGUGUUUCACAGACAUGUCCAGGGACGCAAACCACUAUCUCCAACUUUCUUGGAUUUCCCUAUGUCUCUGUGCAUAUGUCAACUACAUACCCUCAAUUCUAGUUUCCACCCUGAGAGGGGAUGGAAAGUAAGCACACUGAGUCUGAUUAACCUCUUCCUUGUACCCUUUUCUUCUUUCCAUCAUGCCCCAGGGUUUUUAAGGAAUGGAUUUUUCUCCUUCCCAUUUGUCAGGAACUUUCCUUCUGUACCGUAUCCUCUUCAUUUUUGAGAUUUGGCAUUUCUUCUGCUCCCUUUCUUGGAGCCGUGAUAGCUGAUGAAGUGCUCAAGAGAGAACCCAGUUUAACAAUAAUGGAACACCUAUUGGGAGAUAUUAAAAAAUAUUAUCCUAUCCCUACAUUACUGGUUUCUACAUAUGUUUAGUUUAUUUCAGGGAUUAAAUGUUGAAGUCAUCUUUGUGUAAAAGUGUUCAAACUCAAUUGUGGAACUUAAGAGUUGUCAGGACGGACCUUGGAGAUCAUUAAAUCUCAUUUCUGUAUUCAACAGACUAGGAAACUAAACUCCAAAGAAGGGAGGUGACAAAACUAUAACUAUUUGGUAGCAAAGCCACUGUCUGCCAAUCCAGGGCCCUUUCCAUUCAGAAGCAUUGUAGACAGUAUUUUGAGUUCUGGUGAGAACCCAAAAUAUCCUGGAAGGUUUUAUCCAUAGGCAGAUCCACCUAUAUUAGUAAAU
rnacentral:lncRNA from 1 species